AGAAACUAGAGGGCUUGGCCGAUUUUGAGAAGUGUGUGUUAUCUCAAGAGUCUUUCCAAGAGCAUUUGGUGUUGUGUGAAGCAUUUGAGGCAUCACACUUGGGGUGCUAGGCUCACAAGGUUUCAAGGAACACAAGCAACAACAAGGUAAGUUAUUCUAUCUAUGAUUCAAGUUAAAAUUGUUCCCCAUGUAUGCUAGAUAGGAAUAUAACCUUGGAAUUCAACUUUGCAUGAUAAUUAGACAAACAUAGAUCCAAGGUUAUUAGGGUUGCAUGUACACUUAGGAAGUGUUAGAAUGCUCAAAACCCAUCAGUGGUAUCAGAGCCUAGGCUUGUUUGUUUGUUAUUUGUGCUUAAAAGUUGAAGAAAGUCGAAAAUCUUGCUGUCUGACUGAUGGACUCGGCGAGUCCAUGGGGAGGACUCGUCGAGUUCAUGUGUAUCUUCAACCUACUCGGCGAGUAGGUUUAUGCACUCGGCGAGUAGGGUCGACAGAGUGCAGAAUUUCGACUUGAGUUGCUGGAAAUGGAUUAGAAUCAUUACCCUAAAAUGUUUUGGUACUUGAAAACUUAUUUUAGAAGGUGUAAUGUCUUUUCUAACUCAUUUACAACAACUAGUUAUCAAAAUUACAAAGAUUAAAUGUGAUUUUGAUUCUUGAAAGUGUUCAUAUUCAUAUUCUUGUUCUUAUGAUGUUUAGAUGAUCAUAGGAAUUAUUUGUAACCUAUGUGGUAGAUUAAUUCAUGAUCAUAAUGUGUUUUAAUGGAGUCCAUAACUUGUCCUCAAGUUAUGGAAAACCAAAAGUCUCUUGGAUUAAAAACCAUUAAAAGAACACAAGAGUUAGGAAAAAUGAAAAGUCCUCAUUUUAUUACUCUAUUAAACUCAUAAGUUACAAGAAAUGAAAAGUUUUGAAAGUUUACAAAACUUGCCCUCAAGUUUUGGAACAAGUAAAGUUAAGUUAAAACUUUAGUUCCAACCCCUAGAAUUUUAAAAGUUAAAAUUCAACCCUUAUACUUAUAUUAUUAUGAUUUAAUAAUUAUAUAUAUAUGUAUAAGAACAAAGUCGUCUUACCGCUAGUACGCCUCAUUCACGAAGCCGGUCUAUAAGGUGGGUAUAAGGUUGUUGCCUAUAAAAUGGUGACUUAAUGGGUGUCCACUCUCACCCACCGCUUGCUUGAUCGGUGGAGGGUCGUUAGCCGAACGGGUAAGACAAGGACUUAUUAAUUCUCAUUCAAAGUAUGAUGAAUAUUAUAAAGUAACUAAAUGUUUUAUUAAAUUCCCAAUCUUAGUUACUUUAGGAAAAAUGUGAAUAAGGUGCUAUUCCAUGAAAUUACACUUUACACUUUGAUUAAGUCGUUGGUGGAGCGUGUGUGGUUAACCGGCACACUAACUUGGACUUAACAAGGUAGGUAAAGGGUGACUUAGGGUUUAUUAUAGUAUCGAUGGAGCGUGUGUGGUUAACCGGCACAUCGAUUGAGUGAUAAACUUUAAGGGUACCAAGUGAUUUGCAUGGUUACUUCACACCUCGUUUUGUGAUCCUCGGUAUCCCAGUCACAAAACUUGGAGGGCACACUCGAGAUUGAAACAUGCCUUUGAAAAGUUCAUUGAAUCUCAAAGAAUCUAGGAAUUUCUAAGAACCAUUCAAAAACCUAAUACUAAAAUAUUGCGGUUUUCGUGGUGGAAAUUGGUGAAUCGUCAUUCACCUACCUUUCAAAUAUGAUAUAGCUUAGAUUACGGCAUACCUCUUCUAAGUUAUAUUAUAUUGUGAUUGGAUCCUAGCCUUAAUAUUACAUUUGGGUGUUUUAUUAAGGACUCUCUUAUAUCUAAACUAAUCUUGUCCUCUUUCCUUCAGAUGUCUUUCAACAAUGCUUCUGGCUCUAAUCCUAAUGGCUCCUUUACCCUUAUGAACUUGUGUGGGAAAGUCACCUUUGAUGGAUCCAACUUCAAUGAGUGGAUCAGAAACAUCAGGAUGAUUACCCGCUACGAGGACAAAGAAUAUGUCCUUGACAAGGAGCUUAAGGAGAUUGAUGAGUCCACUGCAACUCCUCAGGAGAUCGCUGAAUUUCGGGCACAUGAAAGGGAUGCUACGAAAGUGGCUUGCAUCAUGAUGGCCACGAUGACAGCGGAACUCCAAAAGUCUUAUGAGGAUUUCUACCCUUAUGAAAUGCACCAAGAUUUGAUGGAAAGAUACCAUCAAAGUGCAAGACAAGAGAGGUAUGAAAUCAUCUGCUCCAUGAUAACAACCAUGAUGAAGGACGGGGAAUCCGUCACGAGCCACAUGCAGAAAAUGCAAAGGUAUGUGGAUCGUUUGCUGAAGCUUAAUGUGAACUUCCCGGAGGAUCUUGCAAUAGAUAUUAUUUUGCAUUCCUUACCAUCGUGCUAUGAUCAAUUCCGCAUGACAUAUCACAUGAACAAGGAAGAAGUCACCCUCAGCAAACUUCAGGGACUUCUCAAGACCGCAGAAUCAGGUCUUAAGGGGAAGUCGGUUGCUAUCACUCCUACUCAAAACUCUACUCCGGUUUUGGCAAUCGGGAAAAGUCGAGGGAGGAAGAGAAAGAGCUCUUCUAAGGGUACCAAGGUUCGGACCCUUGAUGGCUCUUCUUCAAGUGGAACCAAGAAAGGUUUCAUUACUCCUUCUUCUGACCCAAAAGAGGCUGAAUGCUUCUAUUGCCAUGAAAAAGCUCAUUGGAAGCGGAACUGCCCAAAAUACCAGCAAGAUGUGAAGGAUGGGAAAGUUAAACCCAACCAUGCAGGUAUUUACACUAUCAUUUCUAAUAACUCACCCCAUUCUAAUUCUUGGGUCCUUGAUACCGGGUGUGGUAUUCACAUUUGUUGUGACUUGCAGGGACUAAGAAGAAGUGAGGAUGUGGAGCAAGGAAGGAUAAACUUGAUCAUGGGGAAUAGGAAAGCUAUACCUGUUACCAAGAUUGGAGUUUAUACUUUAUCGCUAAGUAGUGGGUUUAGUUUAGAUUUGAAUAAGUGUUGUUAUUCGCCAGGAAUGGCAAGAAAUAUUAUUUCCUUUCAUGCUUUGUACAAACAAGGGUUUACCUUUUCAUUUAAUAAUGAAGUUGGUUCUAUAGAUGUUUUCUAUAAUAAUGUCUUUUAUUUUAAAGCAUUACCUUGUGAUGGUGUGUAUGAAGCUGUAUCUGUUGUAGAUAACUUGGGAAAUAAUGUUUUGUGUAUUGAUUCUACUAAUAAUAACUUGGAUAAAGCAUCUUUAUGGCAUUGUCGUCUUGGACAUAUAAGCAAGAAACGCAUAGGCCAACUCCAAAAGGAUGGAGUCUUGGAGUCGUUUGACCUAAAGUCAGAUGAUAGUUGCGAAUCAUGCUUACUUGGAAAAAUGACAAAGUCACCCUUCACAGGUUCGUGUGAGAGGGGUGAAGGUUUGUUGGACCUUAUACACACGGAUGUGUGUGGACCAUUCAAACAUGCCACAAGGGAUGCUAAUCGUUAUUAUUUGACUUUUACUGAUGAUUAUAGUAGAUAUGGAUAUGUCUACUUGAUCAAGCAUAAGUCAGAGACUUUCGAGAGGUUUAAGGAAUUUAAACAGGAAGUCGAGAAUCAAUUGGGCAGGAACAUUAAGAUGCUUCGAUCCGAUCGUGGUGGUGAGUAUCUUAGUUCAGAGUUCCUCGACUAUCUAAGGGAAUGUGGGAUAGUCUCACAAUUGACACCUCCCAGGACACCACAGUUGAAUGGUGUGGCUGAGAGGCGUAAUCGAACCUUGUUAGAUAUGGUUCGUUCCAUGAUGAGUCGAGCUACGCUACCAAUCUCAUUCUGGGGGUAUGCCUUAGAGACUGCCGCCCAUAUUCUUAAUCUAGUCCCUACAAAGAAAGUUGCCAAAACUCCUCACGAGAUGUGGACUGGUAAAGUACCUAAACUAGACCACAUCAAGAUUUGGGGUUGCGAGGCUUUCGUGAGACGCGAGACUCAUGAUAAGCUCGAACCUCGAAGCGAGAGGUGUAUUUUCAUCGGUUACCCACAGCGAUCCUUUGGUUACCUCUUCUACAGACCUAGUGACAAUGUGGUCUUUGUAGCAAGAAGAGGAGUCUUUCGAGAAAGAGAGUUUAUAAGCCAAGGAGACAGUGGGAGGCAAAUUGAUCUUGAAGAAAUUCAAGAAUCAAGCGGUGAAGGAACUUCAAACUCUAGCCCUCAACUUGAGGAGGAAACUCCUGUUGAGCCAAUUGACAAAUCUGUACCUCUGAGACGUUCCACGAGAGUUAGGAGUGCACCUGAGCAUUACUAUGGAUUCCAUAUUACUGCAGAAGGUGAGACACUUAUUAGUGAUGAGACACUAGUAAGUCAAGAUGACCCUAACAGCUACGAGGAAGCCAUGGCAGGCCCCGAGUCUGCUAAAUGGAAAGAGGCUAUGGAUAGCGAGAUACAAUCCAUGUAUGACAAUCAAGUUUGGAACUUGGUUGAAAAUGUACCAGGUCGUAAGACAGUAGGGUGCAAAUGGGUCUUCAAGAAGAAGACCGACAUGGAUGGUAAAGUACACACUUAUAAGGCUAGACUGGUUGCAAAGGGCUUCUCUCAAAUUCCUGGAGUGGAUUAUGAUGAGACCUUUUCUCCGGUAGCCAAGAUUAAGUCUAUUCGGGUUCUGUUAGCCAUAGCUGCAUUUCAUGACUAUGAAAUAUGGCAGAUGGAUGUCAAAACCGCUUUCCUUAAUGGAAAGUUGGCUGAAGAUGUUUACAUGAGUCAGCCAGAGGGUUUUGUCAGCAACGAGUACCCUAAUAGAGUGUGUAAGCUUGAGAAAUCCAUUUAUGGAUUGAAGCAAGCACCUCGCAGAUGGAAUCUUUGCUUUGAUGAAAAGGUCAAGGAAUUUGGCUUUUCUAGGAGUGAAGAUGAAUCUUGUGUGUAUGUCAAGGCUAGUGGGAGUAUAGUUAGCUUUUUGGUAUUGUAUGUGGAUGACAUACUACUCAUAGGAAACGACAUUCCAACCCUGCAGGAAGUAAAGUCCUGGCUUGGGAAGUGUUUCGCUAUGAAGGACCUUGGUGAAGCUGCCUAUAUUCUAGGGAUAAGAAUCUUGAGAGAUCGGAGUAAAAGACUAAUUGGACUUAGUCAGAGUACCUACUUGGAUAAGGUGCUGAAGAGAUUCAGCAUGCAGGAUUCCAAGAAAGGAGAGUUACCCAUCCAGAGUAACACCAGAUUGAGUAAGACACAAAGCCCUAGCACUGAGGCUGAGAUAGCAGAAAUGAGUCGAACACCUUACGCUUCGGCUGUAGGAUCGAUCAUGUAUGCUAUGACGUGUACUCGACCCGAUGUAGCUUUUGCCUUGAGCAUGGUUAGCAGGUAUCAGGCGAACCCUGGCAAGGCACACUGGACUGCGGUAAAGAAUAUCCUCAAGUACCUACGGAGGACUAAGGACUGGGUCCUUACCCUCGGUGGGAGUGAUGACUUGAGAGUUGUAGGGUAUAGUGAUGCUAGCUUCCAGACUGAUAGGGAUAAUUUCCGCUCUCAGUCGGGCUGGGUCUUUACCCUAAACGGAGGAGCAAUUUCUUGGAAGAGUUCCAAGCAAGAGACAGUGGCAGAUUCUACUUGUGAAUCAGAGUAUAUUGCAGCUAGCGAAGCAGCAAAGGAGGCGAUAUGGCUGAAGAACUUCAUUGGAGACCUUGGAGUUGUACCAGCUAUUAAAGAGCCAAUGGAAAUUUUCUGUGAUAGUGAAAGUGCUGUUGCCUUAGCCAAGGAACCAAGGGAUCAUGGGAGAUCCAGACACAUCGACAGAAAAUACCAUUUCAUUAGACAUCGGAUCGAAGAAGGACUCCUCGUGGCAAAGAGGGUAUCAUCGGAUGAGAACCCAGCAGAUCCCCUCACGAAGGGACUGAGUAGGGUUAAGCAUCUCCAGCAUGCUCGGAGCAUAGGGCUGAAGGAUGAUAUAAGUUUUAGUAGUUAGAUAACCCAGAAAUUUGUAAAGUGUAAUUGACAUUUGAUGAUGAAUAAAAGGUGUUUUAUUUAUGAGUAAAGUGUUGCUAUCUCUUGUCAAUCGUUUACUAUAUUUCUUUUGCAUGUUUUGACUUCCAGAAUAAUUUUGUUUGGUGUAACAUAUUAUUCAAACCUCCACAGUCGGUCAUAUGUCGGAAGUAGGUAUGAAUCAAGACUGUCAUGAUGGGUUGUAGAGGUCUAAGGUGUUGGACAAGGCUACAACAAUCAUGAGUGCUCAUAAGUUCUGAGCAUUGGACUCAACCCACGCUCACUGGAAUCACUUCAUGGAAUUCUAUCUCGAGUGAUCGUGAGACGGUAAUAUCAUAUAAGUCUUCAAACCUAGAGAUAUGAUUUGUUACUUACAAGUUGGUUAUGCAUUGACUGUACGAAACCGCAUUGGUAACUCGAUGUUAUAAAACGUACUUUUGUGUGUAAUUCAAUGAGUGGUAGAACAAACAUAUGAGUCGAAGUUUAUCUGUUCCUUCUUGGAUUAGAAGCUGAUAUCUGGGCCCCUCGAUGAUUUUGUUUUGACCCAUGUACCGGGCCCGGUCAGAACUAAGUUGAUGUGUUCAAUUAAGUUCUAUGUCAAACAAAUCGGAAAUCGGGAAACAAAUGCUGGACAAUAAGCAAGACAAUGUUCCAUGUAUUUGUCCGGCUGAUAUCUAGAACGGAGGAUUAUAUGAUCACUUAUCUUAAAUGGCGUACCAUCAUCUUCUCAGUUCCGAGAGACCUUGAAAGAGCUACGAUUGCCGGUCGGUUCCUGAAGUACUAGAGAUAUAGUUAUUAGACUUAUCCAAGUGGGAGACUGUUGGAUAAGGUGUCUAAGUCCAUAACUAUUUCGGGCUUGUACUUGACCCGACCCGGCAUGGUCCAUUUGGGUUGCAUGGCACCAUGCAAUUGGAUAGACUAAAUGAGAGAAAUAACACUUGGAGAUUAUUAAUAUAUUAUAAGUUCUAAUAUAUUAAUAAUAUUAUUUGAUUAGUUGAUCAAAGAAUUAAUUUGGAAUUAAUUAAGUGAUCAAAGGAUAACUAAUUAAAUAUAUGGGUUGAUUAUGUAAAUCAUCCAUAUCUUGUAUAGUGGGCUAAGAGGCUCCAUGGAUUAUCAAGUUGGGUUCUACCCAUAGGAUGCUCCAUGGAUGCUCCAUGGGAGUUACAAACCCAUGGGUCAUGGAAAUGAAGAGUCAUGACACAUUAGGGUUUACAUGGUGUAACCCUAGAUGUGUCAACACUAUAUAAGAAUCAUAUUCUCCACCAAAAUCGGCUACACUAAGAAACUAGAGGGCUUGGCCGAUUUUGAGAAGUGUGUGUUAUCUCAAGAGUCUUUCCAAGAGCAUUUGGUGUUGUGUGAAGCAUUUGAGGCAUCACACUUGGGGUGCUAGGCUCACAAGGUUUCAAAGGAACACAAGCAACAACAAGGUAAGUUAUUCUAUCUAUGAUUCAAGUUAAAAUUGUUCCCCAUGUAUGCUAGAUAGGAAUAUAACCUUGGAAUUCAACUUUGCAUGAUAAUUAGACAAACAUAGAUCCAAGGUUAUUAGGGUUGCA
rnacentral:lncRNA from 1 species